GAUGAACGCUGGCGGCGUGCCUAAUACAUGCAAGUCGAGCGAACAGACGAGGAGCUUGCUCCUCUGACGUUAGCGGCGGACGGGUGAGUAACACGUGGAUAACCUACCUAUAAGACUGGGAUAACUUCGGGAAACCGGAGCUAAUACCGGAUAAUAUAUUGAACCGCAUGGUUCAAUAGUGAAAGACGGUUUUGCUGUCACGUAUAGAUGGAUCCGCGCCGCAUUAGCUAGUUGGUAAGGUAACGGCUUACCAAGGCAACGAUGCGUAGCCGACCUGAGAGGGUGAUCGGCCACACUGGAACUGAGACACGGUCCAGACUCCUACGGGAGGCAGCAGUCGGGAAUCUUCCGCAAUGGGCGAAAGCCUGACGGAGCAACGCCGCGUGAGUGAUGAAGGUCUUCGGAUCGUAAAACUCUGUUAUUAGGGAAGAACAAAUGUGUAAGUAACUAUGCACGUCUUGACGGUACCUAAUCAGAAAGCCACGGCUAACUACGUG
rnacentral:rRNA from 1 species